GUUUUUAUAGUUUAAUUUAAAACUUUGAUCUUGUAAAUCAAAAAUAAUAUAUAUUUAAAAACU
rnacentral:tRNA from 1 species